UGCCAGUGAUAAACUGGAGGAAGGUGGGGAUGACGUCAAGUCAUCAUGGCCCUUACGACCAGGGCUACACACGUGCUACAAUGGCAUAUACAAAGAGAAGCGACCUCGCGAGAGCAAGCGGACCUCAUAAAGUAUGUCGUAGUCCGGAUUGGAGUCUGCAACUCGACUCCAUGAAGUCGGAAUCGCUAGUAAUCGUAGAUCAGAAUGCUACGGUGAAUACGUUCCCGGGCCUUGUACACACCGCCCGUCACACCAUGGGAGUGGGUUGCAAAAGAAGUAGGUAGCUUAA
rnacentral:rRNA from 1 species